UCCGACCUCAAAUCGGACAAGAUUACCCGUUGAAUUUAAGCAUAUAACUAAGCGAAGAAAAAGAAACUAACAAGGAUUUCCCUAGUAACGGCGAGUGAAGCGGGAAAAGCCCAGCACCGAAUCCCUCAGUGUCACGCUGACGGGAACUGUGGUGUGUGGGACGCCACCAGCUGCAACAGAGGGCGCCGAAGUCCUCCUGAUCGGGCCUUCACCCAGAGCGGGUGUAAGGCCUUUGCAGGUGCCUCUCUGUGCGGCCGCGAGCGUCUCAGGAGUCGGGUUGUUUGGGAAUGCAGCCCAAAGCGGGUGGUAAACUCCAUCUAAUGCUAAAUACUUGCACGAGU
rnacentral:rRNA from 1 species